GGAGUUAGGAAAUGUAGGUGCGAUAAUACCGUGCUUAUUUGACAAAGGCUCCAGAGGAAGCCACGGCUAACUCUGUGCCAGCAGCCGCGGUAAUACAGAGGUGGCAAGCGUUGUUCGGAAUUAUUGGGCGUAAAGAGCACGUAGGUGGAUUUGUUAGUCAGAUGUGAAAGCCUUUCGUUCAACGGAAGAAUUGCAUCUGAAACUACAAACCCUGAGUAUAGGAGGGGAGAGUGGAACUUCUG
rnacentral:rRNA from 1 species